ACAUACGACCAUAGUACGAGGACAUGCGCAGGAGCCCAUCUCGAACUCCUCAGCUAAAUCCCGUCACGCACGCUUAGUACUCCGGAGGGGGACCACGGUGGAAUCGCGUGUGUCGUAUGUU
rnacentral:rRNA from 1 species